rnacentral:piRNA from 1 species
AGGCAGCCUAAUGAGGAACACUGUCCGCA